GUGGGGAAUAUUGGGCAAUGGGCGAAAGCCUGACCCAGCAACGCCGCGUGAAGGAAGAAGGUCUUCGGAUUGUAAACUUCUGUCAUUGGGGACGAAGGAAGUGACGGUACCCGAUGAGGAAGCCCCGGCUAACUACGUGCCAGCAGCCGCGGUAAUACGUAGGGGGCGAGCGUUGUCCGGAAUUACUGGGCGUAAAGGGUGCGUAGGCGGCGAUGCAAGUCCAUUGUGAAAAGCCCGGGCUUAACCUGGGAGGUGCAGUGGAAACUGUAUGGCUUGAGGGCAGGAGAGGAAGGUGGAAUUCCUAGUGUAGCGGUGAAAUGCUUAGAUAUUAGGGGGAACACCAGUGGCGAAGGCGGCUUUCUGAACUGUAACUGACGCUGGGGCACAAAAGCGUGGGGAGCAAACAGAAUUAGAACCCCGUGUAGCCC
rnacentral:rRNA from 1 species